rnacentral:rRNA from 1 species
GACGAACGCUGGCGGCGUGCCUAACACAUGCAAGUCGAGCGGAGACAGUGAGUAGCUUGCUAUGAGCUGUUUUAGCGGCGGACGGGUGAGUAACGCGUGAGCAACCUUUCCCAGACAGGGGAAUAACACACCGAAAGGUGUACUAAUACCGCAUAAGACCACGGAAUCACAUGGUUCUGAGGUAAAAGAUUUAUCGGUUUGGGGUGGGCUCGCGUCCGAUUAGGUAGUUGGUGAGGUAACGGCCCACCAAGCCGACGAUCGGUAGCCGACCUGAGAGGGUGAUCGGCCACAUUGGGACUGAGACACGGCCCAAACUCCUACGGGAGGCAGCAGUGGGGAAUAUUGGGCAAUGGAGGAAACUCUGACCCAGCAACGCCGCGUGGAGGAAGAAGGUUUUCGG